rnacentral:rRNA from 1 species
UACGAAGGGGGCUAGCGUUGCUCGGAAUCACUGGGCGUAAAGGGCGCGUAGGCGGCUCUUUAAGUCAGGGGUGAAAUCCUGGAGCUCAACUCCAGAACUGCCUUUGAUACUGAGGAUCUUGAGUUCGGGAGAGGUGAGUGGAACUGCGAGUGUAGAGGUGAAAUUCGUAGAUAUUCGGAAGAACACCAGUGGCGAAGGCGGCUCACUGGCCCGAUACUGACGCUGAGGCACGAAAGCGUGGGGAGCAAACAGG